GCAUGUGUACAUGAUGACUCUAACUUUUUCCCCCAUCAGAUCGGCAAUGCUGAUUAAAAAAACUUGCAUUGUGCACGUCA